AUGGGGUUCAGAGAUGUGCACUGCUUUAACUUGGCCCUCCUAGCCAAGCAGAGCUGGAGGUUACUAGCAGAGCCAGAUUCAUUGUGUGCUAGAGUCUUGAGGGCAAAAUAUUUCCCGGAUGGAGACCUACUAAAUUGCCCUCUCAAGAAGGGGAGCUCUUACACUUGGCAGAGCCUGUGGAGUGGUCUUCAGACUUUCAAAAAAGGAUACAUAUGGAGAGUGGGAGACGGCACACAGAUAAACAUAUGGGAUGAUCCUUGGGUGACAAGCAGCCCAAACAGAAAGGUUAUGACCCCACGAGGUAAUAUCAUUCUUACUGAAGUUUCUGAGUUGAUUGACAUGGAGAAUCGGUGUUGGGAUGAACACCUUAUCAGACAUAUCUUUUGGCCCAUUGAUGCAAACCGUAUCCUGAAUAUACCCCUUGCAACGGGGAUGAUGGAGGAUUUUGUUUCGUGGCACUAUAAUAAAACUGGAAUUUUUUCGGUCAAGACGGCUUACCAUAUGGAGUGGGAUCACCAACACGGACGAAAGUUGAGACAAACAAAUUCAAUAUUGUCUUCAAGUACUAGUCCAGUUUGGCGCAUUCUUUGGAAGCUUCGAGUACCGGCAAAAGUCAAAGUGCAUGUGUGGCGAGCUUUGUAUGGAGCAAUCCCUUGCCGGGGUGUUUUGGCAAAUCGACAUAUGAUUACAGUUUUGGACUGCCCAUUAUGUGAGUCAGAUUGCGAGAGUAUUCGUCAUGCUUUCUUUCGUUGCCAUAGGGUGCAGGAGAUUUGGGCAAAACUUGGCCUGAGUUCCACUAUC
rnacentral:rRNA from 1 species